AGAAUGUUGAAGCGAAAAAAAAAACAAAAUAGGAAAGAAUUGAGGUCAAUAGUUGAUUCAUCGCAGACUCUGGACUUUUAUUUUUGUAUUAAAAUGAUAAUAAAAUAUGCUCAAAACGAUGAUUACUGAUUUGAUUUCGAUACAAAUUGCUACAUACGUAGCUACUACGAAUUCAUUAUUGAUUAUAAUGAAUACACUGGGUUUUAAUUGUGGAACUAAUUCUCAUCGGUACGCCGAUAAAACGGAUACUGCACGUUUGAAUGUGGCACUCGAGAAGGUAGCACAAAUCGAUAUUUUGGAAGCUUCCACAACCAUUGAAGAAAUAUUAUAUGGUCCAGGUAUAUAUGACUCAGUAUGAAUCUCCUAGGACUUGUGAUGGUCACCGUAAAGAACUUCUGUUGGAACUGGAUCAACACAAACUGACAUAACUUCAACAAUUUUUUUGUUUCAAGUUUUAGGGAAAACAAGUCAAAGCAUGUUGUAAUAAUGAUAUAUUUUUACUUUUGGAAAAUAAAAUGAUUCA